UACGUAGGGUGCAAGCGUUAAUCGGAAUUACUGGGCGUAAAGCGUGCGCAGGCGGUUGUGCAAGACAGAUGUGAAAUCCCCGGGCUUAACCUGGGAACUGCAUUUGUGACUGCACGGCUAGAGUGUGUCAGAGGGGGAUGGAAUUCCGCGUGGUAGCAGUGAAAUGCGUAGAUAUGACGGAGGAACACCGAUGGCGAAGGCAAUCCCCUGGGCCUGUACUGACGCUCCAUGCACGAAAGCGUGGGGAGCAAACAGG
rnacentral:rRNA from 1 species